UCGACUCAGCUCGAUGAUUUGGAACAUUGGUUUGUGUGUGUGUAUGUAAUGGAUAGCAACGGAUGAGCCGAUCUUAUCCAAACGCUAUUAAUCUGUUUUUGAUUCUGAUGUUUAGUUUCUAAGAUAUGGAUUACAUACAUACUCUUACUUGAUUUGUAAAAUUAUUUCGUCGUUAAAUUUAUUUUGGCUUUCCCUUACCCGUUCACCCCAUUUGCUCGAGCAAGCUAUUGCGAAACAAUUGCUCACGUUAUCUCUGAUUAUUCAAAAUGGGGCACUAACACGCGCAACACAUGUACUGCCGCUAAAAGCAUAAUUGUCCCAUGUGUAUAGGGAUUCCCAUAGCACAUGGGACAGUUAUGCUUCUAGCGGCAGUGCAAGCGUAUUAUAGCGCACGCUAACAUGACCAUUCCAAUAAUAAAAUUCUUUUUUUGCUAGGUAAUUGACGAUACAGUCCGAUUACUUGACCCCGAUGUAGGCCGUGUAUCAGUCGGUAUUGCAUAAACUUCCCGUACCAGCAAAUAGUUUGAAGGAAUUCGACGAUCCGGUCAUUACGUCACGUUUAUCGUCGUGACGAAGCUCUACACACGCAGCGGAUGGGAAAAGGCGGAUAUCAUUUCGAAAAGCACGAUGGUGAACGGGGCUGGCAUUUUGUCCUCGACGGAGUUCGAUUUCCAUAUGUGCACCAGCAACCAUCGCAUUACUUCCAGUGCGACGGUAACCGCUUUGACUCGGACGAGAUCCAUUGUAGGCCCGGCAGGUCAUGUUGAAUUUGAUCCAGUGCAUUCUGCAACAAAAUUACGUUCCGUAGAAUGGAGAAAACAAAAAACAAAUCUAACAGAAAAUUUAACGGAAAUCAACAUUCAUCGCAAAUCAAACGUAGAUUGGAUCGAGUCAUUAUUGAUGCGUCGCAGCAUCAGCCGUACAAAUUCGACAAUUAUUUGAAUCUGUUCCCGCACGGCAAAUAUAUAUUAUGUCGCUGAUGAACCUGAAUUUGGUUGCACUGACGCUGUCGCCUUCUUCGACAUGCUGAAAGGCCUGCAAUAAGGUAGUAAACAGAAAUGCGUAGGAGUCAGCUCUAAACGAAUUAUUCAUUUGGCUGGAGUAAAUCCGACUCGAAGAUGAAGGUCCUAUCACGUUUUGCUUAUCUACCACGAAUAGUGCAAAUUUGUCUCGCACAUGGUGUUCAAGGCACUGUACAACCUGUGAAAUUUCCCGCAAUGGUCAAAUUGAGCCGAAGAAAAUAUUUCUCUAACUGACAUUGCAGUGCAGUUGUUACUGGACGGGAGUAACGCGUCUGUUGGACCUGAUUGGAUAACAAUCUGGUACGACCCCUGGUGAGUGACGACACAGAACAUCUGCAACAAUCCGAUGUAGGCCGUGUGCCAAUCGGCGACAAGCAGUUUUUCGGGUCGAAAUCUUGCCCGAACAACGUAUUACGUCACGUUAGCAUCUACAUACGCAGCCGGCGGGAAAAACGGAUUACAUUGGGAAACGCAGGAUGGUAAACGGUGCUGGUAUUACGCACUCAACGGAGUUCGCUUUCCAUAUUGGCACCAGACCAGCAACCGUAGCAUUGCUUCCAGUGCGACGAUAAUGAUGCUUUUUUAUAUUAUUUUUAUGCUCGGAAAGCGCAAUUGUUGAAUUUAAAUUGUAAAUAAAACAGAUUGAAUCAAUUGGUUUAAUUCUUUUUAAUGAAAAAUGAAUAAAAAAGAAAUCUGACGGAUCAAAAAGAAGAAGAAGAGUGCCAAAAUAGUGAGCACGACGGUGUCCGAUUCUCUAUAGCUUG